rnacentral:misc_RNA from 1 species
GAUGAAGAACGCAGCGAAAUGCGAUACGUAGUGUGAUUUGCAGAAUUCAGUGAAUCAUCGAAUCUUUGAACGCACAUUGCACCUCUCGGUAUUCCGGGAGGUAUGCCUGUUCGAGCGUCAUUUGUACCCUCAAGCUCUGCUUGGUGUUGGGUGUUUGUUCCGCCUCUGUGUGUGAACUCGCCUCAAAACAAUUGGCAGCCGGCGUACUUGUUUCGGAGCGCAGCACAUUUUGCGAUCCAGAUCAACGUACAGCGGCAUCCAAGAAGCCUUAUUUAACGCUCUUGACCUCGGAUCAGGUAGGGAUACCCGCUGAACUUAAGCAUAUCAAUAAGCGGAGGA